GCCUUCGUGGUGUAGUGGUCAGCACACUUGGCGUGUAUUCGAGAGGUCCGAGGUUCGAGUCACGGCAAGGGCA
rnacentral:tRNA from 1 species